rnacentral:rRNA from 1 species
CAGUCGCCACGGGAAUACGUAGGGUGCAAGCGUUAAUCGGAAUUACUGGGCGUAAAGCGUGCGCAGGCGGUUCGGAAAGGAAGAUGUGAAAUCCCAGGGCUCAACCUUGGAACUGCAUUUUUAACUACCGGACUAGAGUAUGUCAGAGGGAGGUGGAAUUCCACGUGUAGCAGUGAAAUGCGUAGAUAUGUGGAGGAACACCGAUGGCGUAGGCGGCCAUCUGGGACAACACUGACGCUGAGGCACGAAAGCGUGGGGAGCAAACAGGAUUAGAUACCCGCGUAGUCCCUGUCUCUUAAUA